rnacentral:rRNA from 1 species
CAGUCGUACCUGCGGAUAAUCAGCCUUUAGGAUGCGAUUUUGUGGAGUGUGAGGAGCUAAUCCCCUUCACGCAGAUAUAUUGGAGUACCCGGGGUGAUAUUAUUCGUGUGGUAAGUUAACAUCAAUUUUGGUCGUCAUAAAAUGAUAGGAGGAAAGUAGGUUAGAUAUGGUACUGUAGUGUUAUAGCCUUUGGUAGAUGUGAUUAUCGGGAUUGAGGAUUGCAACGGAUGCCCUUCGGGGGUGUUGGUAUGAUCUAACAUCGUUGGUCUGGAACCUAAAGCGUCUCCAAGAUAUCAAAGUCGAGGGUUAAUAGGUUAGAGCGGGUUAAAUU